UACGGAGGGUGCGAGCGUUGUCCGGAAUCAUUGGGCGUAAAGGGCGCGUAGGUGGCGCGGGCAGUCAACGGUGAAAGCUCGGGGCUCAACCCCGAGUCGGCCGUCGAUACUCCCGUGCUUGAGCACUGUAGAGGCAGGUGGAAUUCCGGGUGUAGCGGUGGAAUGCGUAGAGAUCCGGAAGAACACCGGUGGCGAAGGCGGCCUGCUGGGCUAUGGCUGACACUGAGGCGCGACAGCGGUGGGAGCAAACAGGG
rnacentral:rRNA from 1 species